UCAAGUGAAGAAGCGCAUACGGUGGAUGCCUUGGCAGUCAGAGGCGAUGAAAGACGUGGUAGCCUGCGAAAAGCUUCGGGGAGUCGGCAAACAGACUUUGAUCCGGAGAUCUCUGAAUGGGGGAACCCACCUAGGAUAACCUAGGUAUCUUGUACUGAAUCCAUAGGUGCAAGAGGCGAACCAGGGGAACUGAAACAUCUAAGUACCCUGAGGAAAAGAAAUCAACCGAGAUUCCCUUAGUAGUGGCGAGCGAACGGGGAUUAGCCCUUAAGCUUCAUUGAUUUUAGCGGAACGCUCUGGAAAGUGCGGCCAUAGUGGGUGAUAGCCCCGUACGCGAAAGGAUCUUUGAAGUGAAAUCGAGUAGGACGGAGCACGAGAAACUUUGUCUGAACAUGGGGGGACCAUCCUCCAAGGCUAAAUACUACUGACUGACCGAUAGUGAACCAGUACCGUGAGGGAAAGGCGAAAAGAACCCCGGAGAGGGGAGUGAAAUAGAACCUGAAACCGUAUGCGUACAAGCAGUGGGAGCCUACUUGUUAGGUGACUGCGUACCUUUUGUAUAAUGGGUCAGCGACUUAUAUUCAGUGGCAAGCUUAACCGUAUAGGGUAGGCGUAGCGAAAGCGAGUCUUAAUAGGGCGUUUAGUCGCUGGGUAUAGACCCGAAACCGGGCGAUCUAUCCAUGAGCAGGUUGAAGGUUAGGUAACACUGACUGGAGGACCGAACCCACUCCCGUUGAAAAGGUAGGGGAUGACUUGUGGAUCGGAGUGAAAGGCUAAUCAAGCUCGGAGAUAGCUGGUUCUCCUCGAAAGCUAUUUAGGUAGCGCCUCAUGUAUCACUCUGGGGGGUAGAGCACUGUUUCGGCUAGGGGGUCAUCCCGACUUACCAAACCGAUGCAAACUCCGAAUACCCAGAAGUGCCGAGCAUGGGAGACACACGGCGGGUGCUAACGUCCGUCGUGAAAAGGGAAACAACCCAGACCGCCAGCUAAGGUCCCAAAGUUGUGGUUAAGUGGUAAACGAUGUGGGAAGGCUUAGACAGCUAGGAGGUUGGCUUAGAAGCAGCCAUCCUUUAAAGAAAGCGUAAUAGCUCACUAGUCGAGUCGGCCUGCGCGGAAGAUGUAACGGGGCUCAAACCACACACCGAAGCUGCGGGUGUCACGUAAGUGACGCGGUAGAGGAGCGUUCUGUAAGCCUGUGAAGGUGAGUUGAGAAGCUUGCUGGAGGUAUCAGAAGUGCGAAUGCUGACAUGAGUAACGACAAUGGGUGUGAAAAACACCCACGCCGAAAGACCAAGGGUUCCUGCGCAACGUUAAUCGACGCAGGGUUAGUCGGUUCCUAAGGCGAGGCUGAAAAGCGUAGUCGAUGGGAAACAGGUUAAUAUUCCUGUACUUCUGGUUACUGCGAUGGAGGGACGGAGAAGGCUAGGCCAGCUUGGCGUUGGUUGUCCAAGUUUAAGGUGGUAGGCUGAAAUCUUAGGUAAAUCCGGGGUUUCAAGGCCGAGAGCUGAUGACGAGUCGUCUUUUAGAUGACGAAGUGGUUGAUGCCAUGCUUCCAAGAAAAGCUUCUAAGCUUCAGGUAACCAGGAACCGUACCCCAAACCGACACAGGUGGUCGGGUAGAGAAUACCAAGGCGCUUGAGAGAACUCGGGUGAAGGAACUAGGCAAAAUGGCACCGUAACUUCGGGAGAAGGUGCGCCGGCUAGGGUGAAGGAUUUACUCCGUAAGCUCUGGCUGGUCGAAGAUACCAGGCCGCUGCGACUGUUUAUUAAAAACACAGCACUCUGCAAACACGAAAGUGGACGUAUAGGGUGUGACGCCUGCCCGGUGCCGGAAGGUUAAUUGAUGGGGUUAGCGCAAGCGAAGCUCUUGAUCGAAGCCCCGGUAAACGGCGGCCGUAACUAUAACGGUCCUAAGGUAGCGAAAUUCCUUGUCGGGUAAGUUCCGACCUGCACGAAUGGCGUAACGAUGGCGGCGCUGUCUCCACCCGAGACUCAGUGAAAUUGAAAUCGCUGUGAAGAUGCAGUGUAUCCGCGGCUAGACGGAAAGACCCCGUGAACCUUUACUGUAGCUUUGCACUGGACUUUGAGCCUGCUUGUGUAGGAUAGGUGGGAGGCUUUGAAGCGUGGACGCCAGUUCGCGUGGAGCCAUCCUUGAAAUACC
rnacentral:rRNA from 1 species